GCUCCAAUUCUGCUCAGUUGGUAGAGCACGACCUUGCCAAGGUCGGGGUCGCGAGUUCGAGUCUCGUUUCCCGCUCCA
rnacentral:tRNA from 1 species